rnacentral:rRNA from 1 species
CCAGACUCCUACGGGAGGCAGCAGUGGGGAAUAUUGGGCAAUGGGCGCAAGCCUGACCCAGCAACGCCGCGUGAAGGAAGAAGGCUUUCGGGUUGUAAACUUCUUUUAAGGGGGAAGAGCAGAAGACGGUACCCCUUGAAUAAGCCACGGCUAACUACGUGCCAGCAGCCGCGGUAAUACGGAGGAUGCGAGCGUUAUCCGGAUUUAUUGGGUUUAAAGGGUGCGCAGGCGGCGUGUCAAGCAAGCGGUAAAAUAGCGGGGCUCAACCCCGUCGAGCCGUUUGAACUGGCGCGCUUGAGUUCAGGCGAGGUAGGCGGAAUUCGUGGUGUAGCGGUGAAAUGCAUAGAUAUCACGAAGAACUCCGAUUGCGAAGGCAGCUUACCAGGCUGCGACUGACGCUCAGGCACGAAAGUGUGGGUAUCGAACAGGAUUAGAUACCCCUGUAC